rnacentral:rRNA from 1 species
UAGGGAAUCUUCGGCAAUGGGGGCAACCCUGACCGAGCAACGCCGCGUGAGUGAAGAAGGUUUUCGGAUCGUAAAGCUCUGUUGUAAGUCAAGAACGGGUGUGAGAGUGGAAAGUUCACACUGUGACGGUAGCUUACCAGAAAGGGACGGCUAACUACGUGCCAGCAGCCGCGGUAAUACGUAGGUCCCGAUCGUUGUCCGGAUUUAUUGGGCGUAAAGCGAGCGCAGGCGGUUUGAUAAGUCUGAAGUUAAAGGCUGUGGCUCAACCAUAGUUCGCUUUGGAAACUGUCAAACUUGAGUGCAGAAGGGGAGGGUGGAAUUCCAUGUGUAGCGGUGAAAUGCGUAGAUAUAUGGAGGAACACCGGUGGCGAAAGCGGCUCUCUGGUCUGUAACUGACGCUGAGGCUCGAAAGCGUGGGGAGAGAACAGG